GAUGAGAUCAUUUGAGGAUUUCUACUCACUCGCAGCGAGAAUCCAAAAUGGCGUGGCAACCAGAGGAGAGCGGGCUUCGGCAAAUUCUGCUGUUGUUGAAAGAAUCACAGUCUCCUGACACUGCAACGCAAAGAGCUGUUCAACAAAAAUUGGAGGAACUAAACAGGUACCCAGACUUCAACAACUACCUGAUAUUUGUUCUGACCAAACUGAAAACAGAAGAUGACCCUACACGAUCACUUAGUGGCCUAAUUUUGAAAAAUAAUGUGCGUGCACAUUUUGAAAAGUUUCCACCUGAGGUGACCAAUUUUAUUAAACAAGAAUGUCUGAGCAGCAUUGGGGACCCUUCUCCACUUAUUCGAGCCACAAUUGGCAUCCUCAUAACUACCAUCGUGGCAAAAGGAGAACUAAGAAACUGGUCGGAACUCCUUCCUCACCUUUGCCAGUGUCUUGAUUCAGAAGACUACAGUGUCUGUGAGGGAGCUUUUGGGGCAUUGCAGAAGAUUUGUGAAGAUAAUGCAGAGACUCUUGACAGUGAUGCUGUAAACCGCCCACUUAACAUACUUAUCCCUAAAUUCCUUCAAUUUUUCCGCCAUCAAAGCCCCAAAAUAAGGUCUCACGCCAUUGCCUGUGUGAAUCAGUUCAUCAUUAGUCGUACACAGGCACUCAUGGUACACAUUGACACUUUUAUUCAGAACUUGUUCUUCCUGGCAAAAGAUGAUGACACUGAAGUGAGAAAAAAUGUUUGCCGGGCUCUUGUGAUGCUGGUUGAAGUUCGCAUGGAUCGACUUAUGCCUCAUAUAAAUCAGAUCAUUGAGUACAUGAUGGAAAGAACUCAGGAUGUAGAUGACAGUGUGGCUCUGGAGUCAUGCGAGUUCUGGCUUUCCCUCGCUGAGCAGCCAGUGUGCAGGGAUGUUCUAAAUCCAUAUGUUGACCGUCUGCUGCCUAUCCUUGUAAAAGGCAUGAAAUACUCAGAAAUUGACAUCAUUUUGCUGAAGGGUGAUGUUGAAGAGGAUGAAAUGAUCCCAGACAAAGAAUCUGACAUAAAACCACGGUUUCACAAAACACGCACUCACAGUCAGAAGCGACAAGAAGAUGGCACAGAUGAGGAUGGAGAAGGAUCUGAUGAGGGUUAUGAUGAUGAUGACAGUCUCUCCGACUGGAAUUUGAGAAAGUGUUCUGCAGCUGCACUUGAUGUUCUAGCUAAUGUUUUUCAUGAGGAUGUUCUGCCAGUUUUGCUGCCUAUUUUGAAGGCGACGUUGUUCCAUUCAGACUGGGAGAUCAAGGAAUCUGGUAUUUUAGUGCUUGGAGCUAUUGCUGAAGGUUGCAUGAAUGGUAUGGUGCCCCAUCUACCAGAAUUGGUGCCUUACCUUAUUGGCUGUUUGUCUGACCGCAAGGCUUUGGUUAGGUCCAUCACCUGCUGGACACUUUCUCGGUAUGCCCACUGGGUAGUUGGACAGCCACAUGAUCUGUACCUGAAACCCUUGAUGACUGAGUUGCUGAAACGAGUUUUAGAUGGCAACAAAAGAGUUCAAGAGGCUGCAUGCUCUGCGUUUGCCACCCUCGAGGAAGAGGCCUGUACAGAGCUGGUGCCCUACCUAGGUUUUAUCUUGGAAACAUUGGUCUUUGCGUUCUCGAAGUAUCAGCACAAGAAUCUGCUUAUCCUGUAUGAUGCUAUUGGAACACUUGCUGAUUCUGUUGGGCAUCAUUUAAACAAGCCAGAAUACGUAAAUCUUCUCAUGCCACCGUUAAUUCAGAAGUGGAACAUGCUGAAAGAUGAAGACAAAGAUCUUUUUCCUCUUCUGGAGUGCUUGUCAAGUGUAGCAACUGCUCUUCAGUCCGGGUUCUUACCAUAUUGUGAACCAGUGUACCGUCGGUGUGUGUGUCUGGUGGAGCAGACUCUCAACCAAAACUAUGCAAACUUGUCUCAGCCAGACCAGUAUGACCCUCCAGAUAAGGACUUCAUGAUUGUUGCUUUGGACUUGCUCAGUGGACUAGCAGAGGGCCUAGAGCAACAUAUUGAAGGCCUAGUAGGAAAUUCUAGCAUUCUGAAGCUCCUGUACCAGUGCAUGCAGGAUCCAAUGCCAGAAGUCAGACAGAGUUCAUUUGCUCUUCUUGGGGAUUUGACAAAGGCAUGUUUUCAGCAUGUUCGACCAUGCAUACCUGACUUUAUGCCCAUCCUAGCUGCCAACCUGAAUCCGGAAUUCAUUUCUGUGUGCAAUAAUGCAACAUGGGCCAUAGGGGAGAUAUCAAUCAAAAUGGGCCAGGACAUGCAACCAUCAGUACAGAUGGUACUGCCACCUCUGGUGGACAUAAUCAACCGUGCCAAUACACCUAAGACACUGCUUGAAAACACUGGUGCACAUCUCUGCGAAACAUUCGCGACAAUGAAGAGAAGGAUUCUGCUUUCCGAGGUGUGUGUCUCAUGAUUGGUGUGAAUCCAGCUGGCGUUGUGCAGGACUUUAUUUUCUUCUGUGAUGCCAUAGCAUCUUGGAUGCAUCCAAAGCCAGACUUGAAGGAAAUGUUCUACAAGAUUCUUCAUGGUUUCAAGACUCAAGUUGGAGAGGAAAACUGGGCGAAGUUUUCUGACCAGUUCCCUCAACCCCUUCGUGAAAGGCUUGCUUUAAACUAUGGUGUGUGAAGCAGCGCCUGUGUCACAGGAUAG
rnacentral:misc_RNA from 1 species